UUAUUUUUGGGGGAAUUUUACUUAUACACUUUUUAUGAUACCACUUUUCAACUUUACCAUCAAUCGAAAGGCAUUUUCAAAAAUACCACAUUCAUUAAUGUGUAAAAGACAAUAUUGCCCUUAACUUAUCUUCAACUCAUUUCUCUCUCUCUCGUGAAUCUCCGUUCGUCGUCUAUCGUCUCUGUUCAGAUCCGCUGUUUUCCGUUCAGAUCCGCCGUCUCCGUUCAGAUUCGCCGUCUCUGUCCUCCAGAUCCGCCGUCUCUGUCCUGAACCGACGUCUUCGUCCAGAUUCGUCGUCUUCGUCCAGAUCCACGAAGCAAUCGAGAUCGAGACUCAAAACUUCAAAUGUUGAAUCCUCAGCAAGAAUCACAACCUAUUGCAGAGUCUGUUUCUUUUAGCAGCGAUAAAAAGUAUGAUAUAACGCAAGUGAAGGCUCCACCUCAGCUGCAGAAAAAGAUGUGUUAAGUAACUCAAUCAACUAAAAGACAAUUUAGAAAGGCUUAUAAGACAGUUUAUAAAGUUUGUUAAAUAAUUUAUAAGGUUUAUAAAUUCUGCACAAUUUUGAAGUUAACUACGAGGUAUUGUGAUACUUCAACAGAGCUACCAGACAAGCCAAAACUGAUCAUCCAACGUUCAAAUAUGAAUUAUGUUGAAAAUGAUUUUUUGUAUUUUAGGUAAGGAGGAAUUUAGUGAAAUUGAGAAUUCACACCUUGCGGAAGUGUUGUAGAACUAGCUAGAAAGAAUAACAUUCAAUUUUCAGGAAAACCUUAUGCAAAUAAGAUUAUUGAUGAAUGGGGGUAGAUCUAUGGUUCACUUUCUCAUAUCAACCAAUGGGGUUAGAUCUAUGAUUAUUGAUGAAUGUAAAUAAUUUAUAAAAGCUUAUAAAAAACGUUAUGAAAGCAUACAUUCAAUUUAUAAGGGUAUUAUAUGAGUUCCAUAGGUUUAUAAAUCAACUAAAAGAGUCUAUAACAAUUUAGAAAGCCUUAUAAAACAAUUUAUAAUGGUUUGUAUAAUAAUUUAUAAGGGUUUAUAAGGGUACGUAAAUAAUGUAUAUGGGUUUAUAAAAAUAAUUUAUUAAGUUUAUACACCAUUAUAAAUAUUAUAAAAUGAUUUAUAUGGGAAUUUAAAAUUUCUGAAGCGGUGGAGUCUUGAUUGCUGUCCACAUGUACCUCAGAAUCUGCCAUGUAUCAUCAUCUCUUUACAAAGCCUUAUAAGGAUAUGUAAAAUUAUUUGUAGGAGUUUAUAAACUAUUAAUAAAUGCAUAUAAAACAAGUUAUAAAAUCUAUAAACCAUUUAUAAAUGUUUAUAAGAAAGUUAUGAAAGUUUAUAAACAAUAUAUAAGGGGCAUGUAUACUAUUAAUAAGAGUUUAUAAAAACUGUAUGAAAGAUUAUAUUCAAUUUAUAAGAGGUAUUAUAAGAGUUGUAUAGGUUUAUAAAUCAACUAAAAGAGUCUAAAACCAUUUAGAAAGCCUUAUAAAACAAUUUAUAAUGGUUUGUAUAAUAAUUUAUAAGGGUUUAUAAGGGUAUGUAAAUAAUGUAUACGGGUUUAUAAAAAUAAUUUAUUAAGUUUAUACACCAUUAUAAAAUAUUAUAAAAUGAUUUAUAAGGGAAUUUAAAAUUUUUGAAGCGGUGGAGUCUUGAUUGCUGUCCACAUGUACCUCAGAAUCUGCCACGUAUCAUCAUCUCCUUACAAAUCCUUAUAAGGAUAUGUAAAAUUAUUUGUAAGAGUUUAUAAACUAUUAAUAAAUGCAUAUAAAACAAGUUAUAAAAUCUAUAAACCAUUUAUAAAUGUUUAUAAGAAAGUAUGAAAGUUUAUAAACAAUUUAUAAGGGGCAUGUAUACUAUUAAUAAGAGUUUAUAAAAACUGUAUGAAAGAUUAUAUUCAAUUUAUAAGAGGUAUUAUAAGAGUUGUAUAGGUUUAUAAAUCAACUAAAAGAGUCUAAAACCAUUUAGAAAGCCUUAUAAAACAAUUUAUAAUGGUUUGUAUAAUAAUUUAUAAGGGUUUAUAAGGGUAUGUAAAUAAUGUAUACGGGUUUAUAAAAAUAAUUUAUUAAGUUUAUACACCAUUAUAAAAUAUUAUAAAAUGAUUUAUAAGGGAAUUUAAAAUUUCUGAAGCGGUGGAGUCUUGAUUGCUGUCCACAUGUACCUCAGAAUCUGCCACGUAUCAUCAUCUCCUUACAAAUCCUUAUAAGGAUAUGUAAAAUUAUUUGUAAGAGUUUAUAAACCAUUAAUAAAUGCAUAUAAAACAAGUUAUAAAAUCUAUAAACCAUUUAUAAAUGUUUAUAAGAAAGUUAUGAAAGUUUAUAAAUAAUUUAUAAGGGGUAUGUAUACUAUUAGUAAGAGUUUAUAAAAACUUUAUGAAAGAUUAUAUUCAAUUUAUAAGGGGUAUUAUAAGAGUUGUAUAGGUUUAUAAAUCAACUAAAAGAGUCUAUAACCGUUUAGAAAGCCUUAUAAAAUAAUUUAUAAUGGUUUGUAUAAUAAUGUAUACGGGUUUAUAAAAAUAAUUUAUAAAGUUUAUACACCAUUAUAAAGGAUUAUAAUAAAACAAUUUAUAAGGAUAUGUAAAAUUUCUGAAGCGGUGGAGUCUUGAUUGCUGUCCACAUGUACCUCAGAAUCUGCCAUGUAUCAUCAUCUCUUUACAAAGCCUUAUAAGGAUAUGUAAAAUUAUUUGUAGGAGUUUAUAAACUAUUAAUAAAUGCAUAUAAAACAAGUUAUAAAAUCUAUAAACCAUUUAUAAAUGUUUAUAAGAAAGUUAUGAAAGUUUAUAAAUAAUUUAUAAGAGGUAUGUAUACUAUUAAUAAGGGUUUAUAAAAACUUUAUGAAAGCCUUAAAACAAUUUAUAAUGGUUUGUAUAAUAAUAUAUAAGGGUUUACAAGAGUAUGUAAAUAUUUUAUAAGGAUUUAUAAAAAUAAUUUAUAAAGUUUAUACACCAUAAUAAAGGAUUAUAAAAUAAUUUAUAAAAGUAUGUAAAAUUUAUGAAGCAGUGGAGUCUUGCUUGCUGUCCUCAUGUGCCUCACAAUCUGCCACGUAUCAUCAUCUCUUUACAAAAGUAUAUAACUAUUUAUACAGGUUUAUAAAACUAUUUAAAAGGGUGUAUUAAACUAUUUACAAGAACAUAUAAGCUAUUUAUAAGUCUAUUGUUAAAAGUACAACUCGACGAUUUAUAAAUUCUUAUUAAGAAGUUUUUAAACAAGAGUUGAUUGUAUAUGUCUAUACAAAACACAUAAAUGUUUGAACUUGAGAAGUCUUGUGAGGAAUGCUAGGCAGAAUGAGUGUAAGAAACUCAAAGUGAUUUAUAAGCGUUUAUAAAUUUAUUUACAAUGGUUUAUAAGGUAAUUUUUUUAAAAUCCCUCCAAAAGACAAUCAACACAAAAAAACAUAUCUGGUGAAAGAGCCACGUCCUUCAACAAGGGAUAUAUUGCUUUAACAUAGUCUGAGAACAUCAAGGCUUCUCCAUAUCUCACUCUUCUAUAAAAGAAACAAUUGAAACCAAACUCACUUACAUGUCCAACUAAUAUCUUCAAUUAUGCAACUACUAAAAGAGAGAUACAAUUGUUUUAGUAUAAGAGAUGUCUAAAUAAGAUGAGAGAGAAGAAUGUACUAAGAAGCCAACUCUGCAACUUUUAUAAAGCGUUAUAAAUACGUAAUUCUUUGAUAGUACAAACCACAUUCUUCUUCAGAGUCUCUCUUGCCUCUUCAAAUAGCUCACCAACCUCGUAAAUUUUCAAAAUCUGAACAAAAGCCAGUCACAUAUUAUUUCUACGCAUCAGCAUUCACUUCCAAAAAUAAGAUUCAAAAAUAGUAUACUUUCGUAACUCAACAAACUCAUCAUUCAUCUUCACUGCUUCUGUAGAUAUUAUACACAAAACAAGACAUAAAAAAUAAACUCAUAAAGUAUAAAUAGAACGUUACACUACCAAAACACCAACGUUCCACCUCAUAUACUGCACAUACUAAAACAUUGCUAGUCAAACUACAAAUAGUAGCAUUGUAUUACCUUAAGGAAGUGAGAUACUUAGAUAUGCAUAUCACCACACAUAUUCUCCACAACAUCCUUUAAAUCCAAAAGCUGACAACACACAUUUGUAAUUCUCUACAACAUCACCAAAUCAACCAAGAAAAGAAGUAAUCAUAGAAUAAUUAUACUCUUAGGUUAGUACCUUCUCAUGAAUUAAAUAAUUAUAUAAAUCUGAAAACUAUGACAAUAAAUCAACCAAAUCAAUAAUUGUACUCUUACGUUAAGCUUUGUGUCUUUUGAUUGCUAACAGAUCAACAGUAAGAUUUGAAAGGAUCCAAUUUAUAAGAUCUUAUAAAUUUGAGAUCUGAAAACUUCACUUGAAAAACUUCGUCUUCUUUCUUAGAAACAUAUCGAUUUUGAUAAAUCAAGCUAAAAUUACAGAAAGAGGCAAAAAUCACCAUAUACUAUCAUCUUACCUUUGUUAGUGUUUCUUAGGCGUUGGGAGAGAGAUCGUCUCGUUCGUCUGAGCUUGCCGAGUCUGUCAGCUUUGCCGGAGAACUUCUCGGCAUGCGAUUCGUGACGAACGUGACCGAUUUAGCAUCGGAGGAUUACUACGACUACAUAAUGCCGGCAGAGGAACGGCGGGAUGUCCACUCGCCGCCACGCUCUCCCAAUCCGGUCGAGUUCGUCGGAGAUCGUCGAGUUCGCCGGAGAUCGCCAAGUUCGCCGAAGAUCGCCGAAUUCGCCGGAGAUCGCCGAGUUUGCCGGAGAUCUCGUUGGAGCUCGUCUCAAUUUGAUCUCAUUUUCAUCUCGUGACAGACAUUUGGAGAAGAAUAGAUCUAGGUUAAAUUAAUGAAAUGAGGGGUAUAAUGGUACUUUAGCCAUUAAAAUUUUAAUGGUAAAUUUGAAAAGUGUAAAGUUGAAAAGUGGUAUUAGGAAAGUGGUAUUAGUGGCAA